UACGUAGGGUGCAAGCGUUGUCCGGAAUUAUUGGGCGUAAAGGGCUCGUAGGCGGUCCAUCGCGUCGGGAGUGAAAAGCUGGGGCUCAACCCCAGUCCUGCUUUCGAUACGGGUGGACUAGAGGUAUGCAGGGGAGAACGGAAUUCCUGGUGUAGCGGUGAAAUGCGCAGAUAUCAGGAGGAACACCGGUGGCGAAGGCGGAUCUCUGGGCCGUAACUGACGCUGAGGAGCGAAAGCGUGGGGAGCGAACAGG
rnacentral:rRNA from 1 species